CGUGCAUGUGUUUAGUGGACUCGGGAAAGGAGUGAGAUAGCCAAAGCACAUGCGAGGGAUAGGUAUAGCAGUUAGAGGUUAGAAGUUAAAGUGAGAAAGUAAAGUUAGAAGAAAAAGUUAAAAGUCAUUUCUGAUGCAAUAGAGAGGAGAAUUACGUAGGCAUAGUGUCGAAAGACGGAGAGAUUGAAGCCAUCGGGUAAAAAGGUCCACUGUGGGCCUUUUUUCAUAGCUCUCAACAAAUACCCGGAGAGGUUGGUCUGGCCAGGACAGGUUCAACGUUCAAGUCGACGCGGCACAGCGAGAAGGAUCGCCAUUGUAAAACGCCCGGGUUUUUGAGAGGUC